GUCAGCGGUCCGAGCCGAAGGCGGGGAGGGUGGAGAGAAGGCUCGUCUCUGCGCCCGGCGGCCGCCCGGUGGGUGGCUGCGUUACUGUGGCCCGGAGCCCGACAGAGGUGCGUGUCAGGGGCUCGGGAGGCCUUUCCCGUUGCGCCACGCCGCCCUUCCGCCCCGGCGAGCGCCUUCGAGACCUGGGGCUAUUUGGGAACAAAGCCCUAGGCCCCGGGGCUGGCUCCCCUCGCGCGCUCCCGUCCUACCUGCGUGGAGCAGCCCGAGGCUGAACAGCAGCAGCAGCAGCAGCUCCAGCGGCGGGGGGCAGAGCCCGGGGCUGCGGCGCUGCUCAACCUCGGCGGCGGCAGCGGCGGCGCUGGAAGGUGCUGCUCUCAAGCCCAUGCCCGUCCAUGCAGGUCUCGUGGGCUCCGGCGAGGGCGGCGGCGCGGGCGCCGUGGCGGGUCUGGGCCCGUGGCUGCGGCAUGGGCCGGGGGGCGCGCUUCGCUUCCUCUUCUUCCUUCUUCAGGCCCGUGUAGCAGAUGGGGCGCCACCACCGCCGCAGCAAGCAGCGCGCAGCCGGCGCAGCCAGUCCGCGGCGGCAGCAGCGGGGCGCAGGGGCAUCGUGGCGGCCGGAGGCGGCAGGCAGGGAAAGGGGCGGAAGAGAAGACACAAAGACCGUGAGCGACUGCUGAGACGAGUCCCGAGCGCGCCGGCACCCCGGCCCCAGCCAGCGUGGGCUCGGCGGGCGUGGACCUCCAAGAGGCUGGCCCAGCCCUAGCGACCACCCACCGGCGGCCCGGAUAUCUCUGCGCGGCAGCCCCCGCGGUCGAUCAAUCUCAGUCCCGCACUGCCGUCCCGCCCCGCCCUGUGCCCGCCAAUCCACGACGCCAUAAUCCCCCGCCGUGUCCCUCCCUUCCUCCCCAUUGGUUGUGACCGCACGUCAGCCCGACUCAGCCUGCCAAUCGCAGGACCCAGAGGGCCCUCUCCCCCGCCCGCUCAGUGUAAUUCGAGUUCCCUGUCCAUCGACUCCAAGUCCUCUCUCCUGCGCCGCAUGCUGCCUCGCGCUCCCUUUCCUUCCCCCUCUACCCCCUUCCGCGAUUUACUGUUUCCUCGCGCCCAACAGAAAUGGGCGACCGCAAGUCUUACUCUCGCCGGCGUUACAAAGGUACCGGCCUUUGACCUCUCCUUGAAUUAAUGUGAUCCGAUUCAUCUUCCCUCCAAGUUUUUUUUUUAAUUUAAUUACCCCUCCCUGCCCUGGCCCUGCCAGCUUCAGCUCCACCUCCUUGGAGGAAGCAGGCGCUUUUACAGAGCGCCGCGCGGCAGGUCCCCUUUCAGCCAAUCACAUCUGCGGAACCGCGUUCCGAGUCGUUUGAGGGUGUCUGGUAAAGCAAGCUCGGGGCGGUGUUGGAAAUCUGAAUGUCACCCGCGGUCCGGAGCAGAUAGGAUGGGCUGGGAAGGUACCCGCGAACUGCCGCCGGAAUUCGCUGGCAGCUGUGCGAGGCUCAGAUUAUUUAAAUUUUCCACAAAUUUCUACGGAUUAAUUCAAUGGCAGCUCACUUUCUCCUUUUAUGAUCGGAUGGGUCCGAAAGUGAGGAAAAAGACAAUUGUCUACAAAGAAAGAGGCUGCCAAGUGGAGACAGAAAAGCAGUUAUGAGACUGAUGAUAGAUUCCAAUUUGUUAUCGAAAGGAAGGAGGAGACCUGAACAGUACAUCCGGAGAAUCCAGCAAAGCAUACUACGGCAUGAACGUGCAAGUGGACAGAAUUAAAACACAUGCCAGAAACACUAAUGGAUUCUAAACAAGAUGCAGUUUCAUUUCCUGAGCCUAUACGUGAUGUUUUUAACUGUUCUCCAGUUAAUAUGUCUCCAUUUCCAGAAAUCUAACAGGAGAAUCUCUGACUGCUUAACAGAUCACCUAAGCUUGCGAUUUGUGCAAUCCUUUCUAGAGUAAGGGCUCCCCGGCUGCUCCCCGGCCACUGUGUACCCAAAGCAGCGGCUGAAAUAGCCCGGAGUCCAACAGCUCAGCGUCAAGCAGCUCGUGGUUUGUACUUACAUCAUUUUUUUUUUCAGAGCAAGAGUGAAAGUUUAUUAAAAAGCGUUAGAACAGUAAGGAAAGGAAAGGAGAGAAAAUAAGGAAAGUACAACUUGGAAGAGGGCCAAGCGGGCGACUUGAGAAAUCAAGUGCCUGUACUUACAUCAUUCUUAACCCUUUCGCUCCUGGAGGGGGCUCAGCGGGAUCAGGGGGCCCCUGAACUUCGGAACACGCAGGACCUGGGUGUGAGAGAAGAGUCCCAAAGCUUGGCGUGAGCAAUGCACUCGCGGAGGGAGAGAGCCCGGGGCUUGCGGGGGGCUCAUCACCCGCUCGUAGACAACGGGCCCCCGCAAUCCCUGCGGGCUCCGCCGCUGCUCUCACCGCUCAAAACGGCAGGUGCAAAAAGCAUUUGGGAGCCGCUUGCCAGCGCGCGGAGGCAAACGCAGCCGCCGGUCUUGACUGCCAUCGCCCAAGGGGUUCCUCUGGGCUCUCCCGCGAGCCAACAGCCGACCUCUCUCCAGCCUAGUCUGGGAAACUCCAGCCAACCCAGGAUCCCAUUUUGUAGUCCCGGGCAGACCCGAAACCCCUGAAAGAACUCCACUCCAGAAGACGCCAGAACAAGUUCCCACGAAUUUCAUGGGCGCCCUUCACAUGAAAACCUCAGCUCCCCUAUCCUCAAGGAACGGGGAAGGGCGCCGGGGAGGGACUUCGGUGGCCAGCUGUCCCUGGGUCGUGGGCGCUGUUUGCUCUGCGGAGCGCCAGCCCUGCACACAGCGGGUGCGGGAAGCGUUGAUGGGAGGCUGGAGGGCGGGGUGAGCGUAAACUAGGAUCUAGCCGGUUCCAGGCGUGGAGAAUCAAAUGUGGUCCUAGAUCUGUAAGUUGCGAAAAGGGGCUUUUGGGAGCGUCAGAGCUUUCUCACUCCGGUCCCCCGCCGCCUUGAGGCUGGCAGAUUUAUACCCCACAGGUGGAUGGAGACCUAAACAAAACAGUCCCGGCCGCUGCCUGCCGCUCGCCCCCCACGUCCCCCGGGCCCACCGCAAACUUCAACAAAAUAAACAACUCACCACAGGCAUUCCCUUGUCUGCAGCGCGACGCUUGCCAGCUGGGAAAAUAAGCCGCAAGCCACGCGGCCGAGGCGCGGAGGGAAGGCAGCGCGGCGCCCGCCCCUCUCCCCCAGGUGGGGGGCAGCGCGACUCGGGGCGGGAGGGAGGCUCCGCCUCGGGGGCCGCUCUCCCAGUUCUCCGACUCCAGAAUGAGCUCUGGGAGAGGAGCUGCGCCCUUCCAGCUAGCCCGAUUUCUCCGCCAUCUAGGGGAGAGGGCGGGGAGCCAAAUCCCUCAGCCCCCCGCACCCCAGCAGCUUCCUCCAGGCAGCUUUCUCCCCAGUCAGCCUCAAAUAGAGGUGAACAGAGACCCUCCUCUCCCCCCGGCAACCCCUAUAUCGCCACACUGCCCCCUGCCGGCGCUAUCCGGCUCAUUCCGGCACUGCGGACGGCUGGGGGCGUGGGGGCGUAGGGGCGCCGCAGACCCCCGCGUCCAGGUCCUGGAUCAGUUCUCUCUUCGCCUUCCCCCCACCACACUCAAUCUUGCACAAAGACGCCUUUCACGCCGCCAGCGCCACCCUCCGCGCCGCCCUCCGGGCCGGCGGCGCUGCCUUCGCCCACCCGCGGCACCAGCCGAUUCCUGGUGGGCGAUUGUGCCACUCGUCGCCAGGCAGGGCGGCAGCGGACGCGUGCGGGCUGUUCCCACUCCGCGCCCCGGCCAAGGCGCCAGAUGCGCUGCCCCCCGCCACGUUCUCUAGCUGCCCGCCGGCAGCCGCAGAAUGCACACCUUUCUCUCCGUAAAUGAUCCUUAAGGGUCUUCCAAGUGUUUCUAAAAUGGGUACAGUGGCGGGAAUGGUCCGCUGGACUUUCGCCGAAAUAAGGAAUCCAGCGAUCUUACCUGACCACCUAAGGUGCCAGUGUGCCUUUACAGCUUAAGAAAGCCAAAGAUAAAGAUUUGGAAAUAAAGAGGGGAGAGAGGGUUUAAAGAGACACCUAAGGCCCAGAGCAAGUGUGUUACAAAGAAUGAGCCCACGAAAUGUUCGAGGGAGGACGGUCGCUUCGAUCAGCGUGGAAGGCGUGGAGGGCAAGAAGAAAGGGAUUAACUUUCUACCUUACAUUGAUCUUCCAAAGUAGAAAAACAAACAAACAAAAAACAUCCCAGAUACUCAGCGGCAGCUAAUUGGCGCGUUCAACGCCUGGAACUAGCGGGCUACUUCUCUUAGUCAAGUCAAAUGCUCAAGUAUCCUGACUCAGGGAGGUCACUUCUUGCCUCCUUAGGCAAGAAUCUACGACCCUCUCCAGCUUUUCUUUGCCUUCUCCUCCCCUAACCCCUCCUUACAGUUUCUCCGGCUAACGCUAGAGGCAGCAUAGGGCAGUGUAAAGAGGACGAGUGGGAAUCCACAGAGGAAGGUCUAGUCCUGACUUUCUGGGUCUGGGCUUUAGGCAACUGAUUUAACGUCUUUGGACCUUGGGGUCACUAUCAAGAAAGGAUGUGUAAGAGGCAUUAAUUAGUAAAAUUUACAUAUCCUUCUCUUUCUUAAAUUCGAUGACAAUGAACGCCCUUCCUCCAAACCUCUGCAGGUUCCUCCUUAGUAUUUUUUUCACCUUGCUUUAUCUUCUCCAAGUGCCAGUCAAAUGGAAAAAAACAUACUGAGAUUGUUUCAAGGUAAAUGUAAGACACAUUGAAACAUACCCUUUUGCAUCUGAGAAUUUAAAAAGAAGAAAAAAAAAACCCCAACUCAGCUCCUGGUUUACAAAAGCAAGGAAUUUU
rnacentral:lncRNA from 1 species